rnacentral:rRNA from 1 species
GUGGGGAAUAUUGGGCAAUGGGGGAAACCCUGACCCAGCAACGCCGCGUGAAGGAAGAAGGCUUUCGGGUUGUAAACUUCUUUUACCAGGGAAAAACACAAUGAUGGUACCUGGAGAAAAAGCUACGGCUAACUACGUGCCAGCAGCCGCGGUAAUACGUAGGUGGCAAGCGUUGUCUGGAAUUACUGGGUGUAAAGGGCGUGUAGGCGGAACUACAAGUCAGGGGUGAAAACUAUGGGCUUAACCCAUAGCCUGCCUUUGAAACUGUAGUCCUUGAGUGCGGGAGAGGCAAUUGGAAUUCCUAGUGUAGCGGUGAAAUGCGUAGAUAUUAGGAGGAACACCAGUGGCGAAGGCGAAUUGCUGGACAGUAACUGACGCUGAGGCGCGAAAGCCAGGGGAGCAAACAGGAUUAGAAACCCCUGUAGUCC